rnacentral:rRNA from 1 species
AUUGAACGCUGGCGGCAGGCUUAACACAUGCAAGUCGAGCGAGCGGCGGACGGGUGAGUAAUGUCUGGGGAUCUGCCCGAUGGAGGGGGAUAACUACUGGAAACGGUGGCUAAUACCGCAUACUAUCGGAUGUGCCCAUAUGGGAUUAGCUAGUAGGUGGGGUAAAGGCUCACCUAGGCGACGAUCCCUAGCUGGUCUGAGAGGAUGAUCAGCCACACUGUGACUGGGCAACGGCCCAGCCUCCUCCGGGAGGCAGCAGUGGGGAAUAUUGCACAAUGGGCGCAAGCCUGAUGCAGCCAUGCCGCGUGUGUGAAGAAGGCCUUAGGGUUGUAAAGCACUUUCAGCGGGGAGGCGUUACUCGCAGAAGAAGCACCGGCUAACUCCGUGCCAGCAGCCGCGGUAAUAC